UCAUAUGACAUCGGUUUGCUGGAUUAACAAAGCUAAUAGCUGCCAUCGAUUGGUCACUUCUCUGCUCGCUAUCUUUGGGCGCUGCUCGCCUGUCAAAAAUUUUACAUGUGAAAGCAACAACAAAGAUAUCUAGUUGAAUUCGUGCUGGAGAGUAUGCGAAUACCUCAUUAAAAUUGCAAUCGUCGCUUGCUGUGUGCUACCAAGUUUUGUUUUACACAUUUUAGAACCAUUUUACUAUUGUGAACGGCUCAAAGUACAAAUUACUGUCAAAAUAAUUAAAAUUGUUAUACACAAAUUUGAAAUUGAAAAGGGCAGGCGAAGAUAAAUUAAAACGUUAGACAUAGACGGUGGUUGAAGAGUUCAGUGCGACCAAGUAUAUACAAUUCGAUUUCAGUGCUGCCAGUUUGUAUGGAAAUUAGGAAAGUUUGUUCGAUUGGCUUGUCUAUAGCAGUUAGCCCAUCGAUGACAGCUAAUAUAUGAUCCGCAGGGGUGUUUUUCUACAGAUGCAAUAAAUGUAUUGAAAAUUUUGUUUAUAUAAAAGUUGCAUGAAAAAAAUAUGAAUGAAAAUUAUAAAAAUAAUAUACAUAUAUAAAAUAAUCA